rnacentral:lncRNA from 1 species
CAACAGCAAUGCUGGAUCUUUAACCCACUUAGCAAGGCCAGGGAUGAAACCUGUGUCCUUAUGUAUACUAGUUGGGUUCAUUACUGUAAGGUGAGUGUGGAGAAAAAGAGAAUGACUCUAGUGGUCAGGCGAAAAAACAAAAUUUAUUAAAGGGAAAUGAGAGGGUGAUUGACCCUUGAGAAGAGCCAGCCCCCUGCCCUUCUGGCAGGUCCUUUUUAUACCCCUUGGAUGGAAAAUUGGAUCCCCUGAAGGGGAGGUUAUCUUUUUUUUUUUUUUGCUUUUUUAGGGCCACACUGGUGGCAUAUGGAGGUUCCCAGGCUAGGGGUGUAAUUGGAGCUGUAGCUGCCAGCCACAGCCAUAGAAACGCGAGAUACGAGCUUCGUCUAUGACCUACACCACAGCUCACAGCAACACUGGAUCUUUAAUCCACUGAGCGAGGCCAGGGAUCCAACCUGCAACCUCAUGGUUCCUAGUCGGAUUCAUUUCCUCUGAACCACAAUGGGAACUCCUGGUUAGUUUAUCUUUAGCCUGUGGCUGGACUCUGGUGGUUGUAGUCUUAAGAAAGCUGGAGAUAUGUGGUGUCCCAUGGUAGGGUGGUCACAUAGUCUUGGGAAAGUAGGCACAAGUGGUGAAAAAAGGAUGUUGCUUGAGCAAGGUGGUCAGUCUUGUGGGUCACUGUGACCUCAUAUUUUGAUUGCAAGGUCAGCACAAUGAGCCAUUUUAACAAUGAGCCCCAAUGUAGCCCCUAAUAGCUACAAUGGGAACUCCCAACUUGAGAGUUUUGGCCUUCAGUUUUAUUCUCGGCCUAUAGCAUUUUAUUGAGGUCUAGAGCUCAGGAGACAGCCACUCAGCAGCUCCAAGGAGCUGCCAGAAAGGUAGGGGAGGAGCUGGGGUAUAUAUGAACUUUUUGGCCAGGGAAUAUGUGCAGUCAAGCAUUCAUCCUGGUAAAAUAUUAGUUAUGUGAAACACCUCUUGGUGGAUGUUGAGCCAAAAGAUACUACCAAGUCAAAGAUAUGGAGAAGGCAGGAUUUACUACUUGAAACAGGUAAUGUUGCUGAAACUCAGUUUCUGUCCUCCUGUGUCGAAUAGACAAGAGUUUUGGGCAAAGAAGCUCACAGCAGGCUAAUGAUUUAGAGGUUUCCACCCACCCCCCUUUGGGAGAGAUUAGGAGAUGAUUUUAUAGUUUGGGGAGUGGAAAAUAGGGCAAGGAUCGAUAUAGAUGCAAGUUUUCAUUCUUCUUCAAGGUUGAUAUUUAGAGGCUCUGGGAUUUGUUCUGGUUGUCCUGAAAUGAAGAAGACUUCAUCAAGGAAUUAGCAUCUUCUAUGUCUUGGUAGUUUUAGGUCUGCAGAAGUGCUCAAAGAUAUUGUUUGGUGUAUCCCUUGAGGAGGAACCAGGACCCUGCUCCCAGGCUGCACUACUGUGUCUGGACUGCUCCUCCCUGGUCUCUUCAUCCCCUCCCUUCUCGGAUCAGCAACUGCCCUUUGGAACUCAGGGAAAGUCAUGGAUGCUGAAGGAGGCCUAUUUCCUACAAACAAGUAAUGGGAGACACAGAAAAGCUUCCAUGCCCAGGAUACCCAUAGAGUCCUUCUUGGUUUCCUUAAGGAGACAAGUGGCAAUCCUUCCUAAAGUAGUGCCCCCCCCCAACAGCAAAAUUGGGGAUGUUUUAGGCUAAGGACCCAUUCAUAUUUAUGAAGGGGCUUGAGGGGAGAGAAUUCAGCUUAGAAUUGAGGCCAAGGUCAACAGAGUCCAAGCUUUAGUUGAUGGAAGUCAAGAGAGUCAACAGCCUGUCUCUGGAAUAUCAGUUAUUUUAAGCUGGUUAUUUUCUAAGCAAAUGCAGACAAGUCGAAAAACUCUGAACACUGUUGCAUGGAAGAGAGAAGAAAAGCCAGUCAGCUGGGAAGAGUGAGGUCCCAAGUAGGUUUUACUGACCAGAGAGAUAGCCGGGAGCACUGAGAAAGGAAAACUCAGGGCCCCCGCCCUUUAGGGAUAGUUAAGUUUUAUAGGGCAGGGGUCGUGUGUUGAGUCACGUAGUCAUGGGAUGGUGGUUGGUGUCUGGUCCAGGUGAGACUUUUAAUCUUUAGUUGGCCAAAUUUAAACAGACACAGAAAUGUCUGACAAUGUUCUGAGGUGGUGACUGGUCUGGGCUGGAGCUGAUCUAUAGCUUGUGGUGACACUUUUAUGGCUGCUUUGCUGUAAACUUUCCACCUAUGCUUCAGACCUAUAUCUCACGAUGAUACUUUUAUGGCUGCUUUUUUGUUGAAUAUUUCCACCUAAGAAACACCAAAGAGGAGUUCCCCUUUUAUAGGAAGCAGUCAUAUUUAUAAGCAAAAAUCUCCAUCUGUGAGGGUGUUUCCCUUGCUGGGCCAGAAGCAGGAGGGUCCUGCUCUAGAAACUCUCAUCAGUGAAAGAGACAAGAACUUAAAUCUGCUUAAAUAACCUUGUUCACUGUGCUUUUCCUGCUCACCCUUCCAUACCUGACCUUUCACCCUCAGCCUCCUCUUUUGUCUUCAGCUGAAGAUGUAUUUGAGGUGAGCUGUGGGCAUUUUGGUGGGUUAUUCAGUUUUCCUGGGUCUCUCCCCCAUAUGCAUGCUAUGAGACUUUGAUUUUCUUCUGUUAAUCUGUCUCAAGUCAAUUUAAUUGUUUGACCAGCUGGAAGAGCCUAGAAGGGUAGAGGAAAACUUCUUUUUCCCCAACACUAAGAACGUUGUUUUGUGUUCAUAUGAAUUCAGUAUAAUGCAUAAAGGAAUCCUGUAGGAAAUCAUACCAGAGAUGUGUGGUAUUCUUCAGCUAGCUGGCUAAAAUAUAAAUCAUUAAAAGGAAAUAUAUUAUUAUUGGUGAGGAGUUCUCUCAUAGCACAGCAGGUUAAGGAUCUGGCAUUGUUACUGCAGUGGUUUGGGUUCCUGAUGUGGCAUGGCUUUGAUCCCUGGCCCGGGAAUUUCCACAUGCCAAGGGCUUAGAAAAAAAAAAUCAUAAUUUUUUUCUUUUUUUAAAUUACUCGUGGGAUUUAUUACAUUUAUAGUUGUAAAAUAAUCAUCACAAUCCAAUUUUAUAGGAUUUCCAUCCUACAACUCUGGCACAUCCCUCUACCCCCCAAACUGUCUCCUUUGGAAACUGUAAGUUUUUCAGUCUGUGAGUCAGUAUCUGUUCUGCGAAGAAGUUCAUUGUGUCCUUUUUUUCAGACUGCACAUGUCAGUGAAAGCAUUUGAUGUUGGUGUCUCAUUGUCUGACUGACUUCACUUAGCAUGAUAGUUUCUGGGUCCAUCCAUGUUGCUAAAAAUGCCAGUAUUUUGUUCCUUUUAAUGGCUGAGUAAUAUUCCAUUGUCUAUGUGUACCACAUCUUUUUGAUCCCCUCCUCUAUUGAUGGACAUUUAGGUUGUUUCCAUGUCUUGGCUAUUGGAAAUAGUGCUGCAAUGAACAUUGGAGUACACGUGUCUUUGCGAGUCAAGGUUUUCUCUGGAUAGAUGCCUGAUGUCAUGAGACCUGUUUCUACAACAUUUUCUUAGCCUCUUUGCUUCUAUUUUCUGUGCUGAAAACUCCAUCUUAUCCUGCUUUACUUUACCCCAUCUUCCUGCUUGGAAAACAGUCUCAGUGCUGGUAAAUGCCUUAAGUUUAAGAAUAAAGACCUAAAGGCAUAAGUUAUUCAUGUGGUCAGAUGAAUGAGAACAUAAUGCAUUGGUCUAGGCACGCUGGACCUGUGCAGAUAGACACGCUGUCACAGAAGCACAAUGGUGAUUCUCUAGAAUGCUAUGCAUAAAUAACUGACUUUGCCAAGCUUUCUUAAUGCUAAUGAUCGUUAAAUGCCUAAAGAUCAAAAUAAAAGCUUAAUCAGCAACUGGCUAUGUGACUUUUAAAAUAAUUAAAAAAAAAAAGCAACCCUAUAUCCUGCACCUACAACCCCCUCCUCACUUGAUGUAAUCCUAGAGAGCACAAUAAAAGCAGUGUGGUUUCUUGAGGUGGUGCUCUUGGUCCCUGAGACCUUAAGUCCCCCGAUUCCCACCUUUAAU